GAUGAACGCUGGCGGCGUGCCUAAUACAUGCCAGUCGAGCGAACAGACGAGGAGCUUGCUCCUCUGACGUUAGCGGCGGACGGGUGAGUAACACGUGGAUAACCUACCUAUAAGACUGGGAUAACUUCGGGAAACCGGAGCUAAUACCGGAUAAUAUAUUGAACCGCAUGGUUCAAUAGUGAAAGACGGUUUUGCUGUCACUUAUAGAUGGAUCCGCGCCGCAUUAGCCAGUUGGUAAGGUAACGGCUUACCAAGGCAACGAUGCGUAGCCGACCUGAGAGGGUGAUCGGCCACACUGGAACUGAGACACGGUCCAGACUCCUACGGGAGGCAGCAGUAGGGAAUCUUCCGCAAUGGGCGAAAGCCUGACGGAGCAACGCCGCGUGAGUGAUGAAGGUCUUCGGAUCGUAAAACUCUGUUAUUAGGGAAGAACAAAUGUGUAAGUAACUAUGCACGUCUUGAUGGUACCUAAUCAGAAAGCCACGGCUAACUACGUG
rnacentral:rRNA from 1 species